rnacentral:rRNA from 1 species
AACGAACGCUGGCGGCAUGCCUAACACAUGCAAGUCGAACGAGACCUUCGGGUCUAGUGGCGCACGGGUGCGUAACGCGUGGGAACCUGCCCUUAGGUUCGGAAUAACUCCCCGAAAGGGGUGCUAAUACCGGCUAAUGUCUUCGGACCAAAGAUUUAUCGCCUUUGGAUGGGCCCGCGUUGGAUUAGCUAGUUGGUAGGGUAAAAGCCUACCAAGGCGACGAUCCAUAGCUGGUCUGAGAGGCUGAUCAGCCACACUGGGACGGAGACACGGCCCAGACUACUACGGGAGGCAGCAGUGGGGAAUCUUGGACAAUGGGCGAAAGCCUGAUCCAGCACUGCCGCGUGAGUGAUGAAGGCCUUAGGGUUGUAAAGCUCGUUUAUCCGGGAUGAUAAUGACAGUACCGGGAGAAUAAGCUCCGGCUAACUCCGUG